rnacentral:rRNA from 1 species
UACGUAGGGUGCAAGCGUUAAUCGGAAUUACUGGGCGUAAAGCGUGCGCAGGCGGCUUUGCAAGACAGAUGUGAAAUCCCCGGGCUUAACCUGGGAACUGCAUUUGUGACUGCAUGGCUGGAGUGCGGCAGAGGGGGAUGGAAUUCCGCGUGUAGCAGUGAAAUGCGUAGAUAUCAGGAGGAAUACCGAUGGCGAAGGCAGGUCCCUGGGUUGACACUGACGCUCAUGCACGAAAGCGUGGGGAGCAAACAGG